UCGAGCGGACCGAAGGGAGCUUGCUCCUUUAGGUUUAGCGGCGGACGGGUGAGUAACACGUGGGCAACCUGCCCUGCAGACUGGGAUAACUUCGGGAAACCGGAGCUAAUACCGGAUAACACCGAAAACCGCAUGGUUUUCGGUUGAAAGGCGGCUUUAGCUGUCACUGCAGGAUGGGCCCGCGGCGCAUUAGCUAGUUGGUGAGGUAAUGGCUCACCAAGGCGACGAUCCGUAACUGGUCUGAGAGGAUGAUCAGUCACACUGGAACUGAGACACGGUCCAGACUCCUACGGGAGGCAGCAGUGGGGAAUAUUGGACAAUGGGCGAAAGCCUGAUCCAGCCAUGCCGCGUGUGCGAAGAAGGUCUUCGGAUUGUAAAGCACUUUAAGUUGGGAGGAAGGGCAGUAAAUUAAUACUUUGCUGUUUUGACGUUACCGACAGAAUAAGCACCGGCUAACUCUGUGCCAGCAGCCGCGGUAAU
rnacentral:rRNA from 1 species